rnacentral:misc_RNA from 1 species
GUUUACUACGAAGCAAGAUGGCAAAGCGCACAGUGAAGAUGGGCGUGAUGGGCCGCUAUGGCACCCGUUACGGCGCAAACCCGCGUAAGCGCGCGAAGAAGCUUGAAGUGUCCCAGCACGCCAAACACUUCUGUUCCUUCUGCGGUAAGUUUGCAUUCCGCCGCAAAGCUGUCGGCAUCUGGCGUUGCGACGGCUGCAGCAAGACGGUUGCCGGUGGUGCGUACACCCUGAGCACGCCGAACAACAGCACCGUCCGCUCCACGGUUCGCCGUCUGCGCGAGCUGGCCAAGAUUUAAAGUCGUAGGCCGAUGCUCAUAUCUUCCCCUUUUUUCACGGUGCCGUUCCUUUUCUUCUUUCAUUUCUUCCCUUCCGAGACAACAAAUAAACGCAACACAUAGAAGUAUAGACAGGAACUGCGCCAAGCUGUGUAUUGCCCUUCUCCCCCCUCCCACAACGACACAGUGUGUGCGCUGUUCAUGGACGCUUCAUGUGAGGAGGAACGCGACGAGAGACGGACAGGGAUGGAGAGCCGCGCUGAACACGCAAAGCGCCCGCCCACAGGGACACAAACAGAGGCACAGAUGGCCCGCUACUGGCUUCCUUUUCGCCGCCAAGAGGGCGCUGUGCAUGCGCACGUGUGGGGUGGCGGUGGCCCAAUAGCACAAGCGUGCCGCUGUGUAUCUGUGCAUGACACAGACAUGCAAGCAUCUUGCUGCUCCGGCUCCUUUUCUCGUCUGAGUGUCGGUCGUUUUUUCUGUCUCUCGUACGCCACCUUGAUCUUUCUCCAUCCUUCCCCCUCUUUAUCUCUCGCCAUCUCUGUGCCCCCGCUUGUGCGAACUGCCGGUGUGCGAAACCCCCCUCCCCCAAGAAG